ensembl:miRNA MIR502 microRNA 502
CUGCCCUGCUCCCUCUCUCUAAUCCUUGCUAUCUGGGUGCUAGUGCUGUCUCAAUGCAAUGUACCUGGGCAAGGGUUCAUAGAGGGUGAGC